CCAGUCACAGCUGGGUGUCCUCGGGGGUUACGACUCCCCCGGAAGUCAGUGACCGCCCACCACCCUCUGGGGAUACCCCUGGGGGGGGUCGCGAGAGCCAAAGCAGAGAAUGGUAAAAAUACGAAUAUACAAAGGCACAAACAAAAAGUGUAUAACCAAUCAAGGGCCCGAGGUAGACCAAGAGAGACUACCCAUUUCAUAGAAGGGGGUGGGAGACGGGGAACUGGGGGGGCGGGCAGAGGAUAGAAAAACGGAGAGGAGAUAGCGCCUAAAGUGACCACAAAGAGAAAGAUUGAAAGAGGGGAGGGAAAGAGAGAAAAACGCCAUAGUUUUUUUUUUCUCUUUUUAUUUGUAAAUAUUGCUAGUCGUUGAGAUAAGUAGAGCAAAAAAAAACAAUAAGGAACUUUGCAGUGGUCGCCGCGCGCCGGAUUCACACGGCGGGGCCGUUUGUACUGCCAGCAGCAGUAGGACACUAGGGUAGCUACUACCAUAGUGUCCAUGAAACUUCGCCACACAUAAGAAUAACAAUCAAUACUAGAUUUAUAAAUAUUAAAAGGAAUAUAACACUUUUAACAAGAAAGAUAAAUAUUAAACAUUAUCCCGUCCCGUUGAGGAAACAAGCGGAAAAAAAUCGCAGUAGGGAAUCUAUAAUAACAAGUGUUAAAAAGAGGAAAUAGGCAAAUAGACACCUAAAACAUCCAUGCUUUGAAUACAGAGGGCUAUAUAGCUCCCAUAAUGGUACAGGUUAUGACAAAUAUAGGAAGUAUAUAUACAAACAAGGAAAAUAAUAACAGAUAAUACCCAUGAGUACAUAUAGGGUUAUAGAAAGAAGAAUGCUGGAGGUAUACGCCAAUAAUACAAAUAACAAAAUACACACCAAAAAGAAAAAACUGUUUUGAAAUAGAUAUUAACCUUUUGUGGAGUUCUCUCAUUUCAGAUGUGCAGCUCUAACCGAGUGUGCAACAGGGACACAAGUGAUGCCCGAACUUCAAGAAGGAAGCAGACACCCGGAAGGAACGGGACCUCUGAAGAAAAUAUAUCUAUAAGUAUAUGUUUUUUUUUUAAGUUUACAACGUAAUAAGAAAUGCUAAAUAAAUGCCGCUGAUCCAAACCCUUUCCCUUGGUUGCUGGUUGCUAGAUACUUUCUUUUUCUCAAAUUGGUUUUUAUAUCAAAAAAGAAAUCUUGGCUGAUUAGCCCCAUUAAUUUAUUUUAAUUGGCUUUAAGCCCGCAGUGCUCACGCGGGAGCGGGCAGGGGACUAGUUACUUUUCAGUCUUUAUUCAUUCCCCACCUCAAAAGUUGUCCCUAUCUACUAUCUAGCGAAACCACAGCCAAGGGAACGGCUUGGAAAAAUCAGCGGGAAAGAAGACCCUGUUGAGCUUGACUCUAGUCUGACUCUGUGAAGAGACAUGAGAGGUGUAGCAUAAGUGGGAGGCCGUGAACCUCGCGGUUGUGUCGUGCCGUCAGUGAAAUACCACUACUUUCAUCGUUUCUUUACUUACUGGGUGAAGCGGAAAGCGGACCAUGAGUGUCCACGCUUCUAGCAAUAAGUGCAGGCCAUUCGUUGGCCCGCACGAUCUGUUCCGAGGACAGUGUCAGGCGGGGAGUUUGACUGGGGCGGUACAUCUGUCAAAUGGUAACGCAGGUGUCCUAAGGCGAGCUCAGCGAGGACAGAACCUCGCGUAGAGCAAAAGGGCAAAUGCUUGCUUGAUCUUGAUUUUCAGUACGAUUACAGACCGCGAAAGCGGGGCCCCUCGAUCCUUUUGACUUUAAGAGUUUUAAGCAAGAGGGUCAGAAAAGUUACCACAGGGAUAACUGGCUUGUGGCGGCCAAGCGUUCACAGCGACGUCGCUCUUUGAUCCUUCGAUGUCGGCUCUUCCUAUCAUUGCGAAGCAGAAUUCGCCAAGCGUUGGAUUGUUCACCCACUAAUAGGGAACGUGAGGUGGGUUAGGACCGUCGGUGAGACAGGUUAGUUUUACCCUACUGAUGACUGGUCAUUGCGAUGUAAUCCUGCUCAGUACGAGAGGAACCGCAGGUUCGGACACUUGGUUCAUGUGCUUGGUCGAGAGACCAGUGGUGCGAAGCUACCAUCCGUGGGAUUACGACUGAACGCCUCUAAGUCAGAAUCCCGUCUAAGCAGUGCAGUGAUAUCGUGCGCACUUGCAGCGUUUGCAGGUGACGUUAGAGUUUCUCGGGUCGAUCGCGGCGGGCCGCCGCGAUUCCCGGCUCGACGACGCCACAUGGACGUGGGGGCAUUAGUCGUUCGCCGAGGUAACGGUGCGAGCGACGCUCCCAUGCACUCGUUUUUGGUGUGAACCGCUGCGGUGUCAAAUCGUCUGUAGACGACUUA
rnacentral:rRNA from 1 species